rnacentral:rRNA from 1 species
CACGUAGGGUGCGAGCGUUGUCCGGAAUUAUUGGGCGUAAAGAGCUCGUAGGCGGUGUGUCGCGUCGGCCGUGAAAACCUGCAGCUUAACUGUGGGCUUGCGGUCGAUACGGGCAUCACUGGAGUUCGGCAGGGGAGACUGGAAUUCCUGGUGUAGCGGUGAAAUGCGUAGAGAUCAUGAGGAAGACCAGUGGCGAAGGCGGGUCUCUGGACAGUUCCUGACACUGA